GGGUCUGAUCAUCAUGGUGUCCGCUGUCAUCACUGUUCACCUCAGGAAGAGAUUCUACAGGCAAAGAGAGCAUGUCCAAGGGGCAGAGACAGGGGGAACUGCACCACUAGGUGGCAGACUAUAGGCAUCCUGUAUCCCUGUAUCCCUGCAUACAGCAGCCUGUUUACCCUCAGCUUACACAACAUGGUAACAAUACUUCUAUUGGAAGGUCACUGUAAGUUGAAAAUAUUAAUUCAUAUCUCAGUGUCAUUUACUAGUUGGGUCAGUGGAUCCUAAAGAUAACGUGUAUGAGGAGGGUCUGAUACAAAGCAAAUAUUAGCAUGAAAGUUAUGAGAUACAUAUCUUCAAAUAAUAUAUUUUUACCAGCCUGUAAACUCUUUACGGCUAAAAUGGGCACAGUUUCUCCACAUUUAUAUUCAACAGUGUUUUAUAAUAUUUUCUGUUUGAUCGUGUUUGUAAUGAGGACUCUUACUUAUCUGACUAGAACAGUAGCUGAAUUUGAGGUGUAUGUAUGUAAGUGUCACCACAUUUUGUCACUCUGCUUACCCUGACCCUCUCUGACUACAUUCAAGAAAACGAUCCUGCAUGCAGAGAUCAGCGCUUUGGUGUCUACAGCAAUGUGCAGCAGGAGGCUGUGAGGGCUGCUUUAAGUUGGAACUGCUGGCUUUUAUGAAAUAAAGCUUUAUUUGUGCAACUACA